GGUUUGGCUGCCCACGGUGCUUCUCAGCUGGGUAAUUGGGAUAAGGGGCAGGAGGGUGGCGAUAAAGGAGCUUGUAUUUCCUUCUACCGGCGUCGCUUCGCUGCCCUUCGUUCUGCUCCGUGCGGCAAGUUCCAGCCCUAUGGAAUCCCCCAACCCCAUAGGAAGCCCUCAGCACCAUGGGAUACCGCAAUCACUGGGGCACAGAGGCAAGUCUUCAAGGUGGGAACGAUGAGCAUUAUAAAUCCCCCUCCUCUAAACCCCCACCUGCUCCCAGGUUUUCCCUCCUGCCAACAUCACUCAGGCUGCGGAGCACGUAAAGAGGUCAAAAUGCAGCAUCGUGUUAAGUGUAGUAAACCAGAGGUACAGUUUUCCGCUCGUAAAAUUAACAACAAACUACAUGCAAGUUACAAAAUCCAUCCCCUCCCUCCCUCCACCCCCCCCAGAAAAAAAAAAAAAACAAA